rnacentral:rRNA from 1 species
CUUACCAACCCGAUGCAAACUCCGAAUACCAGUGAGUACUAUCCGGGAGACACACGGCGGGUGCUAACGUUCGUCGUGAAGAGGGAAACAACCCAGACCGCCAGCUAAGGUCCCCAAAUUCCAGUUAAGUGGGAAACGAUGUGGGAAGGCUCAGACAGCUAGGAGGUUGGCUUAGAAGCAGCCAUCCUUUAAAGAAAGCGUAAUAGCUCACUAGUCGAGUCGGCCUGCGCGGAAGAUGUAACGGGGCUCAAACUGGAUACCGAAGCUGCGGCAGCGUGCUUAUGCAUGCUGGGUAGGGGAGCGUUCUGUAAGUCUGUGAAGGUGUGUUGAGAAGCAUGCUGGAGAUAUCAGAAGUGCGAAUGCUGACGUGAGUAACGAUAAUGGGGGUGAAAAACCUCCACGCCGAAAGACCAAGGUUUCCUGCGCAACGCUAAUCGGCGCAGGGUAAGUCGGCCCCUAAGGCGAGGCAGAAAUGCGUAGCUGAUGGGAAACGGGUUAAUAUUCCCGUACUUCUUAUAACUGCGAUGGAGAGACGGAGAAGGCUAGGCCUACCGGGCGUUGGUUGUCCCGGGGAAAGGCAGUAGGCUGGGAUCUUAGGCAAAUCCGGGAUCCUAAGGCUGAGAGCCGAGACCAUUGGGGCUUUGUCCCCGAGAAGUGGUUGAUGCCCUGCUUCCAGGAAAAUCUUCUAAGCUUCAGGUUAUAAGGAACCGUACCCCAAACCGACACAGGUGGUUGGGAUGAGUAUUCUAAGGCGCUUGAGAGAACUCGGGUGAAGGAACUAGGCAAAGUGGUACCGUAACUUCGGGAGAAGGUACGCCACCGAUGGUGAAGGGCUUGCCCCGUAAGCUGUUGGUGGUCGCAGUGAAAAGGCCCCUGCAACUGUUUAUUAAAAACACAGCACUCUGCAAACGCGUAAGCGGACGUAUAGGGUGUGACGCCUGCCCGGUGCCGGAAGGUUAAUUGAUGGGGUUAGCUUCGGCGAAGCUCUUGAUCGAAGCCCCGGUAAACGGCGGCCGUAACUAUAACGGUCCUAAGGUAGCGAAAUUCCUUGUCGGGUAAGUUCCGACCUGCACGAAUGGCGUAAUGAUGGGGGCACUGUCUCCACCCGAGACUCAGUGAAAUCGAAAUCGCAGUGAAGAUGCUGUGUACCCGCGGCUAGACGGAAAGACCCCGUGAACCUUUACUACAGCUUCACAGUGGACUUUGAGCCUGCUUGUGUAGGAUAGCUGGGAGACGUUGAAGCAGUGACGCCAGUCAUUGUGGAGUCAACCUUGAAAUACCAGCCUGGCAUGUUUGAGGUUCUAACCCAGGCCCGUUAUCCGGGUCGGGGACAUUGUGUGGUGGGUAGUUUGACUGGGGCGGUCUCCUCCCAAAGAGUAACGGAGGAGCACAAAGGUACCCUCAGCACGGUCGGACAUCGUGCAAUGAGCGUAAAGGUAGAAGGGUGCUUGACUGCGAGACCUACAAGUCGAGCAGGUGCGAAAGCAGGUCUUAGUGAUCCGGUGGUUCUGUAUGGAAGGGCCAUCGCUCAACGGAUAAAAGGUACUCCGGGGAUAACAGGCUGAUACCGCCCAAGAGUUCAUAUCGACGGCGGUGUUUGGCACCUCGAUGUCGGCUCAUCUCAUCCUGGGGCUGAAGCCGGUCCCAAGGGUAUGGCUGUUCGCCAUUUAAAGAGGUACGCGAGCUGGGUUUAGAACGUCGUGAGACAGUUCGGUCCCUAUCUGCCGUGGGCGUUAGAGAUUUGAGAGGAGCUGCUCCUAGUACGAGAGGACCGGAGUGGACGAACCUCUGGUGUUCCGGUUGUCACGCCAGUGGCAUUGCCGGGUAGCUACGUUCGGACGGGAUAACCGCUGAAAGCAUCUAAGCGGGAAGCCUCCCUCAAGAUGAGAUCUCUCUGGGAACUUGAUUCCCCUAAAGGGCCGUUGAAGACCACAACGUUGAUAGGCGGGGUGUGGAAGCUGCCGUAAGGCGUGAAGCUAACCCGUACUAAUUGCCCGUGAGGCUUGACCAU